rnacentral:lncRNA from 1 species
GUAGGGCUACUAUACUCUUAUGAGUAUAGAACCCUUACUACUCAUAAGUUGUUUUCGAUGUUGAAGUUUUCGAAUCGACGAUCCACACCGUUAAACAUGUACUAGAGUAUUUGAAACUUCUGGAAAAUAAAUUUCAUAAAUUUUCAAAAUCAUUAUAAAGUCCAUCAAGCGAGUAUAAAAUGAACGAUUAAAAUCGAAUUACAUCCUAAGAAUGGAUGAUCGGAUCCUUCAAUUUAAGAUCGGAGUUAUUGAUCUUUAUUUCGGUAGUGAAUAGAAUUUUCUAUCAAAAAUUCAACCUAUUUCGNUUUGAUCUAAAAUUUUAAUGUCAUAUUAUCACGUUUUGUAAGAUUUUUAUUUUCAGCCAUUUAUUUUGAGCCCCUUCGUUCACUAGGCAAAUAAACGAAGGCCGCAAAAUCAUAAAAUAGGAUUGGGGCCAUUGUCCUAUCAAGUUGUUUUGCAUGAUCGGAACUAUAUAGAGUCCGGCUACUAUCCUAUUAAUAGGAUUGGGACCAUUGUCUUAUCAAGUUGUUUUGCAUGAUCGGAACUUCAAAUUGAUAAUCGGCACCGUUGAAAUUGAUCUACACAAUUAGAAAUGUUUAGAAACUAAAUUUUGUAAUAUUUAAAAAUCAUUAUCAAGUUCAUCUUAAGAGUU